GAAGUAAAAGUCGUAACAAGGUUUCCGUAGGUGAACCUGCGGAAGGAUCAUUAAUGAAUUUUUGAAUUGGGGUUGUAGCUGGCUCUCUCGGGCAUGUGCACACUCUAUUCAUCCAUCUCUCUAUACACCUGUGCACCUUUUGUGGGGAAUAAGUUGAAAGGAUUUUCUUAGUAAACCUCCCUACGUUUUUAUCAUAAACCCUAGAAUGUCUUUGAAUGUUUUUGCAUUAACAAUGCAUUUUAAUACAACUUUCAGCAACGGAUCUCUUGGCUCUCGCAUCGAUGAAGAACGCAGCGAAAUGCGAUAAGUAAUGUGAAUUGCAGAAUUCAGUGAAUCAUCGAAUCUUUGAACGCACCUUGCGCUCCUUGGUAUUCCGAGGAGCAUGCCUGUUUGAGUGUCAUGGAAUUAUCAAUCCUCUUUUACUUUAUUGUAAAAGAUGGACUUGGAUUUGGAGGUUUUUUGCUGGCUGCAUUUAUUUUGUGGUCGGCUCCUCUUGAAUGCAUUAGCUCGAGUCUUUGACGGGAUCAGCUUAUCGGUGUGAUAAAUGUUACAUCGUUGUUGGUUUUCGUGAAUUGAGCUUCUAAUCGUCCUUUGCGGGGGACAAAUUUACAUUUGACAUCUGACCUCAAAUCAGGUAGGACUACCCGCUGAACUUAAGCA
rnacentral:rRNA from 1 species